rnacentral:lncRNA from 1 species
GGGAAAAGAAAAUCUACAUUUGGUUUAACUAAGCUCAGAAUUAGAAACAUUGACAAAAAAUAAAUGAUGAAAAUCACAAUAAAAAUUAACAAAUUAUCACAGCAGUAAUUUUACAAACAUCAGUUAAAAAAUAAAAUAACAAAAUAUCAUAAAUAAAAUAAGAAAAAAUUAGUGAAUAUAUGUCAUAUAUUUUAUUGUGCCAAGCGUAAACUUGCGUUGGUAAUAUAAUUAUGAUGUGAUGUAAUAUAAUUAAUUAAAUUGUUCAAAUGAGUGAAAUAUGAAAGACAAUUAAUAUAAUUAUAUUAAUGAAAUUACUAAAAAGACAAUAUACUUUUUUUAUAUGGCUAUCCAUGUUUCCAAACAAUUCUCAUUUAUACUAUUUAUCCAUGUUUCCAAACAAUACAAAAAAAUACUUUAGUUUUAAUAAUUUACUAGAUUUUGACUCGCGUAUCCGUGCAGCUGUAUUUAAAAAACAAUAAUGCUAUUUGUUUUUUUUAUGUCACUAUUUAGGGUUGGGCAAAAAACUUGAAUUCGAAGAACCGAAUUGAUCCCAAUCCGAAUAAGUAGUAUCAAAUCCGAACCAAAAUUGAUUAAAUAUCCGAAUUACUCAAAAUUUUGGUAUUUGAAGAACUGAAACGUAAUCCG